AUGAGUUGGAACAUCAGAGGCUUAAACACACCGGCGCGGCGCGCUGUAGUUAGCGAGGCGGCAGAGGCACAUAAGCUGGCAAUCCUCUGCCUCCAGGAGACCAAGAUCGAGGUAUGGAGCAGCCCUCUGGUCAGAGAGGUAUGCAGAGCGAGGCUCGCCGACUGUGUGGUGCUUCCCGCCUCCGGCACCAGGGGCGCCGUGAUUUUCUGGGACAGUAGUGUAGUAGACGUGCAAUCACACACUGUCGGGCAAUUCUCCAUCACCGUCCGCGUUACCAUAAUGGCAACAUCAACACCCUACUGGCUAACCACGGUGUACGGCCCUGUCGACGACAGUAGAAAAGACGAGUUCUUGUCAGAAUUAGUUAGGGCGGCGCCACCAACAAACGAUCCCUGGCUCAUCAACAGUGAUUUUAACCUCAUAUACAAAGCCAGCAACAAAAACAAUAGCAACAUCAAUCGUAGAAUGAUGGGAAAAUUCCAGGCGGCGAUCGACGCCGCAGGUCUCCGGGAGAUCAGAUAA
rnacentral:rRNA from 1 species